AGCCAAAUCCAUUCUAUGAGAAACUGAAGUUGGAACACAAACAGGUCAUGUGGGAACUAAAGAUCUUUGAGAAUGAGAACACCUCAGAAAAGUUCAGUGAGCUGACCAAGGACACAGUCUUCUAUCGAAUGUGUCCCCAGCAGUCUGCACAGCCAGCUCCUGAUGGAACAGACUCAUCUGCACAAGAAGGUGGACCUGCUGAAGCAGGAGAAAAAGAAACUGCAGGAGGACUUGGUUCUUCUCAAACACCACUUGAAAGAUUUGAAUGUGAUCUGUAAGGACCAAGAGGAAGAGACCAGUAACCUCAAAACCCAGCAACAACAGGUAGGGUGCAGUGUCCAUGCACAAGUACUUCUGGGAAGUUAGCCUCUUAUGAGAAAUUGAAUUAUUGUCAAGGAAUCCCUGCUGCUCUGCUUGAAGCUGCAGUCCAGUGAAGAAGGUCCAAAACAUGUCACACACCUACAUGUCAUUACGAUAGAUCCACACAACUGCAGCCUGAGCUGGAACAGGACACAGCCCAGCAUGAGAGCCACCUGCAGAAGGAGCUACUACAGCAAGAGCCACCUGCUGAGCCCCAUCCCCAGCAAAUAACUGAUUCCUGAGGAUGCAUUUUCUUCUUCAGAUUUGGUGUUCAUUGUGGAGUAGGUACUGAUUAUGCCUAGGUAGUAACCUAGCAUGAUUGCUUCUGGGUCUUGAUUCCCUUUCCUUCUUGAAAGCCCCUUUUGAGAGAACUUGGGAAGUCAAAGAAGCCACAGACACCUGGAAUGCAUUAUAUACUUUACAUUAGGAUCAAGGCUUCCAGAGAAAAAGGCACCCUGUUGUAGUUGUGAACUCACCAGUUAGGAAAGCACCAACUGACCUCCAGGUGACCCAUGCCCAAUCUGAUCCAUGUGUCUGUUGGCUCAGUUUUUGAAAA